rnacentral:rRNA from 1 species
GAUGAACGCUGGCGGCGUGCUUAACACAUGCAAGUCGAACGGAAAGGCUCCUGCUUGCCUGGGUACUCGAGAGGCGAACGGGUGAGUAACACGUGGGGGAUCUGCCCUUCACUUCGGGAUAAGCCUUGGAAACUGGGUCUAAUAUCGGGGAGGACUAUGUGUUGGAUGCCAUUGUGGAAAGUUUUUCGGUGUGGGUUGAGCUCGCGGCCUAUCAGUUUGUUGGUGGGGUAAUGGCCUACCAAGGCGUCGACGGGUAGCCGGCCUGAGAGGGUGUACGGCCACAUUGGGCCUGAGGUACGGACCAGACUCCUACGGGAGGCAGCAGUGGAGAAUCUUACACAAUGGGGGCAAGCCUGAUGCAGCGGUGCCGCGUGGGUGAUGACGGCCUUCGGGUUGUAAACUAAUUUCGCUAGGGACGAAGAGAAAGUGACGGUACCUGGAGAAGAAGCACCGGCUAACUACGUG